rnacentral:rRNA from 1 species
UACGUAGGGAGCAAGCGUUGUCCGGAAUCAUUGGGCGUAAAGCGCGCGUAGGCGGCCCCGUAAGUCCGCUGUGAAAGUCAAAGGCUCAACCUUUGAAAGCCGGUGGAUACUGUGGGGCUAGAGUCCGGAAGAGGCGAGUGGAAGUUCCUGGUGUAGCGGUGGAAUGCGCAGAUAUCAGGAGGAACACCAAUAGCGAAGGCAGCUCGCUGGGACGGUACUGACGCUAAGGCGCGAAAGCGUGGGGAGCGAACGAGG